rnacentral:rRNA from 1 species
AUCGAACGCUGGCGGCAGGCCUAACACAUGCAAGUCGAACGAGUGGCGGACGGGUGAGUAAUGUCUGGGAAACUGCCCGAUGGAGGGGGCUAACUACUGUAAACGGUAGCUAAUACCGCAUACCCACAGAUGUGCCAAGAUGGGAUUAGCUAGUCGGUGGGGUAACGGUUCACCUAGGCGACGAUCCCUAGCUGGUCUGCGAGGAUGACCAGCCACACUGGAACUGAGACACGGUCCAGAAUCCGACGGGAGGCAGAAGUGGGGAAUAUGGCACAAUGGGCGCAAGCCUGAUGCAGCAAUGCCGCGUGUAGGAAGAAGGCCGUCGGGUUGUAAAGUACUGUCAGCAGGGAGGCGUUAUCCGCAGAAGAAGCACCGGCUAACUCCGUGCCAGCAGCCGCGGUAAUUC